AUGUUAACCCCAAGAGCAGGGUGACGAGGCAACUACAAUUUGUGUUGCAACAAUUGGGGAUAACCCAGCUGCAGCUGCACGGCCAACUUUUGGCAAGACGUUGGUCUCGGUUUUGGUCUUGCUCUUGGUUCUGCCUCUGGCCUGGCCGACAGACACUUGACACUUGACGGCAACUGAAAGAUGAAAAGUUUUCAACGAUGUUGACGACGACGACAACGGCGACGACCACCAUCACCCACGUGGAGGACAAGUUUUCUCCACACCAACACAGAAUGAACCACAACAAAGCUAUCAAAAAGUAUAUUAUAAAAAGAUAGAGGAACACCGAGAGAAUGCCAACAAUGGCAAUAACCAAAGUAUGCAACACAACGCGCACUCUUCUGCCAACUGCAAUCACAAAUUGUGCGUCGAUUUCGCACAUUCAACUUCAACAAGUUUCUUGCAACUCCAUUUGCCCCUUCUCGACAACGCUGUUCCCUCAUUUCUGAGUGCGAGUACGUGGGCGUAUAUAAUUUCUCAUUAAUUUGUGCAACGUCUGCGUCCAGCUGGCACAGAGCGCCGCACACUCAAAAUGGCUUCCGUUUCAUUAAAAUACAAUUAAAAUGUUUAAAUAGUCAGCACAGCAGGUGUACAAUAGAACCAAACCAGCCAACGGAGAGCCAACAAUCCAGCGAUAAAUUAUGGACAAACUUUUGAAAGCAACUUCGAGUAGCUGCGCGAAAUCUAAUCAGUUACAAAAGGCUUAAAGCACAUAAUCUGAAAUAAGAAAAGGAACAUAAGACCGAAACAGACCAAACUUUUGGUAGUCGAGGUUUCUGCUGGAUGCUGGAAGUUUUACUUUAAUGAUGUGUAAAAGCUGCUAUUUACACAGCGUAACGCUUAUGAAUGUCCCAUAAAGAAGAAAGCAAGACAAACACAGAUCCAGUUCAUACAGUGCAUAUUCAGCAUAAAUUUCAUAUUGAACUAUA